rnacentral:tRNA from 1 species
GUCGCCAAGCGGUAAGGCACUGGUUUCUGAUACCAGCAUUCCGGGGUNAGGUUCGAUUCCCGUCGUAGCCACCA